UGAUAUUCUACGCCCCCUCUCAUUCUAAUGAACCUUAAAAAUUAAUUACAUAAACCAAAACAUUUUCACAUUCUAGUAAAGGCGAUUGAAAAAUUAUUAGGAGCUAUAUUAACAGUACCGCAAGGGAAAGAUGAAAUAAAAAUGAAACAAAUAUCAAGCAAAAAAGAGUAGAGAUUUAACCUCGUACCUUUUGCAUCAUGGUUUAACUAGUCAAACUAAGCAAAACGACUUUCAGUUUAACCCCCCGAAACUAAGCGAGCUACCCCAAGGCAGCUUAUUGAGCAAACCCGUCUCUGUCGCAAAAGAGUGGGAAGACCUUUGGGUAGGGGUGACAGACCUAACGAGCUUAGUGAUAGCUGGUUACUCAAGAAAAGGAUUUUAGUCCAACCUAAAGUCUCAUUAAUACUUAUAAAUAGCAAAAUUACUUUAGAGCAAUUCAAAUAAGGUACAGCCUAUUUGAAACAGGAUACAACCUUUUAAGAUGGGUAAUAUUUCUUUAAAAUAAUAAAGUAGGCUUAAAAGCAGCCACCUUUAAAAUAGCGUCAAAGCCUCAUUAUUUCCUUACUUAAUUCCACUUACAACCUAAAACCCUCCAUCACUACUGAGUACUUCUAUACCCCUAUAGAACAUUUUAUGUUAAAACUAGUAACAAGAAGUAGAACUUCACUUAAAUGCAAGUGUAAAUCAGAAAGGACACACCACUGACUAUUAACACCCAUGCAAACAAAUUAACAACUCUACAAGAAAAGCUUAAUUUAUAUUAUGUUAAUCUAACACAAGAGCAUUUCAAGUAAGAUUUAAAGAAAAGGAAGGAACUCGGCAAACAUUAACCUCGCCUGUUUACCAAAAACAUCGCCUCUUGACCAAAUAUAAGAGGUCCAGCCUGCCCAGUGACUUUGUUCAACGGCCGCGGUAUCCUAACCGUGCGAAGGUAGCGUAAUCACUUGUUCUUUAAAUGAGGACUAGUAUGAAUGGCAUCACGAAGGUUACACUGUCUCCCUUUUCUAAUCAGUGAAACUAAUCUCCCCGUGAAGAAGCGGGGAUAAACAUAUAAGACGAGAAGACCCUAUGGAGCUUUAAACUUAAUAACAUUUCCUUUAAAUAUACACACUCCAGAGCAACUGACAUUUACUACGGCCUCCUGAUUAUUAGUUUUAGGUUGGGGUGACCGCGGAGCAAAAAACAACCUCCACAUUGAAUGGGGAAUUCCCCUGAACCACGAGCUACAACUCUACACACCAAUAAAUUGACAUCAAUUGACCCAAUAUAUUGAUCAACGAACCAAGUUACCCUAGGGAUAACAGCGCAAUCCGCUUCAAGAGCUCCUAUCGACAAGCGGGUUUACGACCUCGAUGUUGGAUCAGGGUAUCCCAGUGGUGCAGCCGCUACUAAAGGUUCGUUUGUUCAACGAUUAAAACCCUACGUGAUCUGAGUUCAGACCGGAGUAAUCCAGGUCAGUUUCUAUCUAUAAGGAGCUUUUUCUAGUACGAAAGGACCGAAAAAACAUGGCCUAUAUAUAAUACAAGCCAUAUUUAAUAAUUUAUGAUUAAAACUCAAUAAAUACUUAACCUACUACUCAACUCUAAACAAGAGUAG
rnacentral:rRNA from 1 species